AAAGCGUGCGCAGGCGGUUAUAUAAGACAGAUGUGAAAUCCCCGGGCUCAACCUGGGAACUGCAUUUGUGACUGUAUAGCUGGAGUGCGGCAGAGGGGGAUGGAAUUCCGCGUGUAGCAGUGAAAUGCGUAGAUAUGCGGAGGAACACCGAUGGCGAAGGCAAUCCCCUGGGCCUGCACUGACGCUCAUGCACGAAAGCGUGGGGAGCAAACAGGAUUAGAUACCCGGGU
rnacentral:rRNA from 1 species